GCCCUCGUAGCUUAGCAGUUAAAGUGCCGUUUUCCGACAAGGAUUGCAGGCGGAGAUCGUGGUUUCAAAUACCACCGGGGGUU